UCUCGGUUAGUAUAGUGGUUAGUAUCCCCGCCUGUCACGCGGGAGACCGGGGUUCAAUUCCCCGACCGAGAG